rnacentral:rRNA from 1 species
ACUCCUACGGGAGGCAGCGGUGGGGAAUAUUGGACAAUGGGGGCAACCCUGAUCCAGCAAUGCCGCGUGAGUGAUGAAGGCCUUAGGGUCGUAAAGCUCUUUUACCAGGGAUGAUAAUGACAGUACCUGGAGAAUAAGCUCCGGCUAACUCCGUGCCAGCAGCCGCGGUAAUAC